AGCAGCAGCAACAGCAGCAGCCACUCGAAAUUGAUUCAACUCAAUCCGCGCAGCGCGCCCCUUAUGGACUUAUGGACUGGAUAUUAGGCAACAACAAGAACGAGGACGAGGCGCAGCAGACACCACAUAAUCUUCCCCAGUCACCAGUUCAGCAACAAAUUUCCCAUUCGCCGCAUUCAUCGCCGAGCAAUUAGCAGUGGGCAAAGAUCUUUGCCAGCGCAGCGCCUAGUUGACUCCAUCUAGCAAGUUGCUUAACAAUAAACUUCGACUUAGAUUAGCAUUAGAGUUCUAUAUAAAUAUGAUGUACCUUGCAUGAAUGAAAACGAAGACGACACCCGAGAAACCUUCUAAAACAAAAAAAAAAAAUAAU